rnacentral:misc_RNA from 1 species
GAUGAAGAACGUAGCGAAAUGCGAUACGUAAUGUGAAUUGUAGAAUUCAGUGAAUCAUCGAAUCUUUGAACGCAUAUUGCGCUCUCUGGUAUUCCGGAGAGCAUGCUUGUUUGAGUAUCAGUAAACACCUCAACUCCCUUUUCUUUUUUGAAAUUGGAGCUGGACUUGAGUGAUCCCAACGCUUUCUUCCAAGAAAGUGGCGGGUUGCUUGAAAUGCAGGUGCAGCUGAACUUUUCUCUGAGCUAUAAGCAUAUCUAUUUAGUCUGCCUAAAAAACAGAUUAUUACCUUUGCUGCAGCUAACAUAAAGGAGACUAGUUCUUGUGCUGACUGAUGCAGGAUUCACAGAGACAGCUUCGGCUGACUUUGUAAACUCGAUCUCAAAUCGAGUAAGACUACCCGCUGAACUUAAGCAUAUCAAUAAGCGGAGGA